rnacentral:lncRNA from 1 species
CUAUUGGCCAUUGUUGCACAUGACCAAAGUCGAUUCUCUUUCAACCUUCCAAUGGUGCUACUCCUACCAAUUCAUGGAUGCAUUCAUUUCUAUUUCAAUCUCCUCGUCUCAUCACACAUCCAACUUAGUAUCAUUGUUUCAGCUACACUCGUUUUAUUUGUGUUAUUUCUUAUUUACUCACAUUGUUUCCAGUGAAGCAUCUUGCAACUCUUCUAUAUAUGGUUUCCUCCAAUUUCGUUGGUACCUGUCGAUUGCUCAAUAUGCAAAGGGAAGGUACCUCCCAAUGAACAAACUUGUUCGUGUGGUGCAACCCGUCCAAUUCUACAUCUCCUAAUUGUCAAAACCCUAGAUAGAGAAUUGUUCUCUUUGAAUCUUAUUGUCUUCAAUGUUCACUUCUUUGCUUUUUUACAUAUAUUGUUACGAACCACAUUCCACAUUUCAAUUUUGCUCUAAUAUUUUAACUUUUGACGAAUCGUUUCUCCAAUGAAGGCAAUUGGUGAUGUAGGCAAUCUGUUGUCCAUCUAGGAAUCGUGAUAGGGCGGUGCUAAGACGAUGUGAACCGCAAGAGGUGGAACGAUGAGAGAGAGAGAGAGAUGGAGGAGAGAAUGCGGCACUUCAUAAUGGGUAACAUAGGGGAGUAAACAUGGCUAACCUAGAGGAUAUUCACAAUAUGACCAUAAACUUUCCUUCCAUGAACGAGGAGUUUGAUGUUUUAUCUACGAAGGAAGUUUAUCUAAUAAUGAUCAUCGUGUUUGAAAGAAUGGAAGUGGGUAUAUUAAACAAGGGUGAGUUAAAUAGAUUUUUAAGGUGGAAGAGAAACUUAAACAAGAGAAAGAUAAAUAUGAAAGCUCAAGUUGAACAUUUUGAAAUUAGAAGAAAAUUGGGUUUAUUGAUUGAAAGACUCAAGAAUGAGUCUUAUUCAAAACUAGAUUUCUUCAUGGGGUAUGUAAGCAAAAUGAAAUCCGCAAGCUUAAAGUUGAAGAGAUUGAGAAAGAGAAUAGAGCCUUGGGUAAAUUUCCAAUGGAAAAUAUUGUUACACCUAAUGUGGUAUCAAAAGAAUAAAGGAAGUCAAACUCAAUCGUUUAAGAAAAAGGUUAAAAAAGCAAGACUUAUAAAAAGGAAAGGCUUAAACGACUCUUUCUAAAGUCAAACACAUCAACCUAGUGCCGUUAGAGUUCCAAAUGAUGUAAAGGAAACUUGUUAUUACACCAUUAAAGGACCACAUGCAAAAUCAAUGUAUAUAUACGCAAUUCGUUGCGUCCCAACAAGGAAAUAUGUCUCAUAACCACCUCAAGUUUUUGCUAGGUCUCAAAAUGCAACAAACAAAAAACAUGAUGGAAAUGCAAUGUUAAAUGCUCAGAAUCCAUGUGAUGUGAAACUGCCAACUCUCACAAGGGCCUUUAAAGGAAGAAAUACUUAAUAUAGGGGGUCUUUUAUGAAUUUGGAGGUUGAAUUCCAAAUUCUAUGGCCAACAUAGAAACUUUGGAUUAGGAUAAAAGGGCUUUAUUUUAUUAAUUAAGACAAAUUAUCAAUGUUAAAUUGUAAGCCUCAUUCAAGCGUAGUGAGAAUUUAAAGUCAAAUCAUAAGAAUAGAAACCUAAUAAGGUGAAAUUGGUUUGCCUGUCAAAGGCUAACUUAUGUAGACAGGCUUACAAAUUUAUUUCAUUUUACUUAUCUGGAGUGACGGAGAGUAACGAGGAAGAGUUAGAUUGCUCUUCUGCUGCAUAUUUUUUUUUUUAAUUUAGAAUGUUUAAUUAUAUUCCUUUUAAAGGCAUAAAUUAUAAUUACACUCCUCUAAAAACUUACAAUGAUUGGGUGGUUAACAAUUUUACGUGAUUGAAUUAAUGUUGGGCAGAGUAUGUCUAAUUCUCCUCAGGAACAGGUACAUAUAGAGUAGCUUCUUUUUUAGCAAAAUUAUAUCUUUCACUUAAAUAUUUAGUUUGGCUGAUACGUAUCUCGUAUCUCCUAUAAAAGUUUCUAUUGCUUUGUCUUUGUAUUUUAUCUAAAACUUCCUUGAGAUCACUAACAAGACAUUGCUAUUGGCUUUACAGCUGUUGGAGUUGGAUUUACUUCUGCUUUGAUAUCCUUUUAAGUUGAUACUAAUUCAUCUACGUGUAGCAUGCUUAAGCAAUUUACUUUUACUCUGAGAAUGUUAGUGAACCCUUAACCCCCAGAAACUUUUUAAGUAUGCUGGUUUAGUUAUUGACAAGUGAGUACUGGACUUAUUUUUUCUGCUCAUCUUGCAGUUUGCAUCUAAUCUGUUGUGAACUACCCUAAUCAAAGUAUUGGUUUGACAUGCUCUCUGCAGUCUUCAGAACUUGGAGUGCUGCCUUUUUGUCGUGUUCCCAUAUUUCUCGUAAGUCAUUACCAGCCUUAUUAGUCUUGUCAUGUGCAAUUGAUUUCAGUUGUCCCUUAUCCUGAGCACGUGUCUUAAUGUGUACAAUCUUCUUUUUCUUUUCAGGUACAUGCUAGCUGAAGGCCUUGGCCUCUCUGGUAUUGUA